UUUUGAUUUUCAUUUUGCUUUCUUCGUAUCCUAUUGUUACACUCAUAGCUAUAUUAGCACUUCAAAAUCCAAAUUUUAUUAUGAGUAAAUUACUAUAACACCCCUCAUAUUUGAUAUGAUUCAUAUUUUAGUCCCUCUUGUUUGAAAAUUGAACUAUAUUGUCCCUCACUUUUGUUUUUGUCAACAAUUUAGUCCUUAUGUCCAUUUUGUAUGUUUAGUUAACAAAGUCAACGAAACUAUAUAGUUCCCCAGUUUUGUUUUUCUCAACGAUUUCACCCCUUAUUUUUGUUUUUAUCAACGAUUUCGCCCUCAAUUUUGAUAAUUAAUUUACCAAUAAAUCCUUUGACUUCGUUAACUAACACUAAAAAUAGAUGGAGUGACUAAAAUGUUGAGGGAAGCAAAAGUGAGAGGCCAUAUAGUUUAGUUUUCAAACAUAAGGAAAUAAAGUGUGAAUUAUAUCAAAUGUGAGGGACUUCAUAGUAAUUUUCUCUUUUAUUAUAUGCAUACUGUACCCCUACCCUUACCAUACAAUUAUAUAUAAAUACUCUUUAUGUAAAUAGGCAUUUAUUAUUUUUACAUAUUGGCAAAAUCCAGUGAACCAAGACUACAAAGUACAGAUUAUAUAAUCAACAUUUCCCAGUUUAUUUGCAAAUAUAAAUAUUUUACCAAUAUUUUCCUUAUUGGUAAAAUAUUUCUGUAGUUGUGCUAUAAAUACUAAAUAGGAUCUUACCUUAGUAUAAGCUUUGCAAAACAAAUCUUAAAAUCAUUGUCUAAGUAAAGUGAAAAUCAAACAAUCAUCAAUAUGGCAAAGACACCCUUCAAAUUGUUCUUUCUAGUUGCUCUUUUAGUUUUAUUUAUCUCUUUCGAAUCAACAAUUAUACAGGCAGACGCGAAAGAAUGCUCACGUGACAUUGACUGUGACCUCCGUUGUAAAAGAGGAGGGUUAUGUUCUAAAGAAGGAAAAUGUUUCUGUAUAUAUGCAGCCAACGGAGGAAAAUCUGCAGAUGCAUCGUGCGGCACCGGUGGCCGGAAAUGCAACUAGCUAGUCAUGCCUACCUACCUCUAUUAUUCUCCUCCCACAGACAAUAUAUAUUUGUAAUUGUCAAAUAUUGUUGUUCAACAUCAAAUAAAUCUUGUUUAAAUCAUAUUUAUCAAGUCGAGAUUCGAA